rnacentral:rRNA from 1 species
UACAGAGGAUGCAAGCGUUAUCCGGAAUGAUUGGGCGUAAAGCGUCUGUAGGUGGCUUUUAAGUCCGCCGUCAAAUCCCAGGGCUCAACUCUGGACAGGCGGUGGAAACUACCAAGCUGGAGUACGGUAGGGGCAGAGGGAAUUUCCGGUGGAGCGGUGAAAUGCGUAGAUAUCGGUAGGAACACCAGUGGCGAAAGGCGGUCUCUUGGAGCAUUCUUGACGCUGAGGCGCGAAAGCUGGGGGAGCGAACGGG